ensembl:lncRNA
GAAAUGUUUCAUUUGUUGUAGUUUAUAUGUGCUAUGCACAUGUGUUUGCAGCAGCACAUGCAGGUUUAUGAUACACCUGCUUUUGCUUUUUCCUUAGGGAACAAUGUUUUUACCUUCUUUCAAGUAGAACUCUAAAGUGACAGAAGAUACCAUCCUAACCUCCCGGGAAGCAAAUACAAGAGAAUAACAGAAGUCUGCGCACCCUGACUGUGCUCAAUCAAGUUUUCUUUUCUAUGGUUCCUGACUCAAAACUGAUACAGCAAAUCCUGAUCUGCCCCCUGGGAAACACGGAAAAAUUUCACCACCAGCUUCACCCAAGACAAGAAUUCAUCAUAAAGAAAUUUCACAAUCAGAUCUGCAGCUGUUGUGCAUCCCCGUACAGGUAGAUCUCUUCACACUUUGAUCAGUUUAAUAUGGAGAGAGUAUUGUUGGUCUGCAUUUUCUGAACCUUAUUGAUAUUUGUGGUUUUACUCUUUGAGAUAGGAGAAUGUGGAAUCUUUUGACAAAAUUACAAGGAAAGAGAAAAUCAUGCAGCUUGAGUAUGUCUGUGCAUUGCUGCAUUGUUGGACUCGCUUUUUAAAAUUAGUUUUUCAGUUCUUCUCAAAAGUGCUGGAGUAAAAGAUGAAUGUCAGUAUUCAGCAGUCACAGGACAGAAGCGGUCCAGAGCCUGUGCCCGCUCCUUGCUGACAAGGCCUGUAACGGGAGCACCACGAUGGUUUUGUACCAAGAAUUUCACAGAAGGAAAGUAAGCUGUUCUGUGUUCUCAUUUAUUAGACAGAGAGAGAACUGAAGAGUAACCUUUAUGGAACUCACAUGGCACCUGAAUAAUUUGCAUUUAGAAAGGAUGUUCCUUUCAUGUUCAAUUGGUUUAUUGAAUCUGUGUUAGACUUCUGUAAAUGCUGCACAGCUUUUGCAUCUCCAGUACUUUUCCUAAAUGAAAGACUAACCUUUGGAGUCUGGCUUGGUAUAUUACAUUUAUGUUUAGUCUAAAAGAGGUAAUGAAAGUCAUUGAACUGAAUGGCACAAAUUCCCUUGGUCCUUGAGAAGCAGCUUUAACAACAGUCUCACUUGGAUGUUCAGAGUGACAGGAAUUAACAUCGUUCCUAUCCAUCGGAACAUACUUCUUCUUGAAACAACCCUCACAAAUUCAUGUUUCAGUAAUUCUGUAAGGGCAGACUGUAGUGCCGAAGGAGGAAAAACUGAGUACAUUUCUCAUUCCCAAGAGAAAUUAAAAAGGAGGCAAGUGCUUUGAGUGGUUAGCAAGUCUCUUUGUGCUGAUUAUAGUGGCCUGCCAUCAAGAACCUUGAAACAAAACUCAUGUUACUGAACAGAAAUAUUUUGAAAAUGAGUGUGCUAAGGAGCUAUGGGCUUGGUGUGACUGUGAUCUGAGCUUGUUUUUUUUUAACCUCUAGUUGUAUGGGUUACGUUUACAGUAAAUUCUUCUGGCAGAUAGUGGUCAUGAAAAGUUUUACCCUGCAGGUCAGAAAGAAAGCUGUACCAGAAGUAUAGGAGAUACCGAGCUAGGUGGGAGGGACUUCUUUAACACAUCCACCUCAGCCCCUUUCCAUUUCAGUGAUGUUGUGUAGAUCUCUCGGUAUCUUUUUGUACAAAAGCAACAUCUCUUUGAAAUCAGACGUAAAUCUAUCUUGUGAAUUACAUGUAGAAAGUGCUUUGUGGAAAAACACCCGGAAUCACUAAUAGGCAUUCUAGCUUUAAUAUUCUACUUAAUAUUCCCAGCAUUAGACACUCUUAAGUAGCAUUUUCGUAACAACUUGUUUGUGCUAAGGUAGGGUGGCAGUUUAGCUGUGACUCUGCAAAGCGGAAAAAAAGCUGAUGUCUGUGAACUCUGCACCCACACUCUCUUUAUGGGAACUUUGCAAUAGCUGUGCAAUUGCUUUCUUGAGCCAGGGCCUGGAAUCUCCUGAGUUACUCUGAACAUACACUAGCUUUGGUUAUUGGUGUCCCGGUUCACAACUGGGUUGUUUCCUACCCUGCCCUGCAUAUCUCCUUGCCAAGCAAUCUGGACAGUUUGUAAACACUGCAUCGGCAGAAAAGUUAUGGAUUCAAUCCUGUGUUCUGUGCAGCUGGUUAACUGUUUUGUAAGACUGUAAGACUGAGAAAUCGUCCCAUCCCAGUGAAAA